GACGAACGCUGGCGGCGUGCCUAAUACAUGCAAGUUGAGCGCUGAAGGUUGGUACUUGUACCAACUGGAUGAGCAGCGAACGGGUGAGUAACGCGUGGGGAAUCUGCCUUUGAGCGGGGGACAACAUUUGGAAACGAAUGCUAAUACCGCAUAAAAACUUUAAACACAAGUUUUAAGUUUGAAAGAUGCAAUUGCAUCACUCAAAGAUGAUCCCGCGUUGUAUUAGCUAGUUGGUGAGGUAAAGGCUCACCAAGGCGAUGAUACAUAGCCGACCUGAGAGGUCGAUCGGCCACAUUGGGACGGAGACACGGCCCAAACGCCUGCGGGAGGCAGCAGUAGGGAUUCUUCGGCAAUGGACGAAGAUCUUACCGAGCAACGCCGCGGGAGUGAAGAAGGUUUUCGGAUCGUGAAACUCUGUUGGUAGAGAAGAACGUGGGUGAGAGUGGAAAGCUCAUCAAGUGACGGUAACUACCCAGAAAGGGACGGCUAACUACGUG
rnacentral:rRNA from 1 species